CCAUUUUAGUUGUAGAAUUUGUCACGGAUCAUCGUGUGAUAUAUUGACCGGCUGUUAGACACUGUCCUAACCACAAAAAAAAAUCGCUUUUUUUUCACACAACUUUAACCAAGUUUUGCGUACUCGUAAAUUUAGUUGAUCGUAUAAAAUAUUUUGCCAUACACUCGAAUGCCUUAGUCUUGAUAGAAACGUCAUCCAUUAUUGAAGUACGUUAUUAACCGUUAGAUUGUUUGGCUGAUUUUGUGAACAACCAAUCAAUUCUUGCUACUAGCUGAAGGCUUUUUGUCAACAUUUGGAAUCUUGCAAUUUAAUUAUUUUAUCUUAUACAAGUUUCUGGUAUGUGUCAGCCAAUAGGGUCCAGCAAUGGCAUGGUCCCCUUUCACUGUAGGGUGACCUACGUCCUUCGUAAUUGAAAAUGUCUAGCUAUGUGUUAGAACAAUGGAUGUGAAGCAUCAAUAGGAGACUUGAUUUGUCAACUGUUGGUUGAGACGGCUAAAGACAUGGAGUGGAUCACAAUUUCAUUUCCACACUCAUCUUUGGAGUCCUGGGGUGCCCACCGUUGUAGCGGUACAUAACUCUGUUCAGGCCACAAAUAAUGAAUGUUAAAUCUAUCCACAUCUGACAUGGAGACAAGUACCAUAUCAUACAUAAAAAUGCCUGAAGAUAAAAAUGGAUUAGAGGCAUGUUGGAGUGAUGUUCUAGAAAGCAGCAUCCCAAGGGCAAGAAUCUGAAUCUAAAGGCUGGUCAACACAAUAUAUAUUUUGUAACUUCGUUUUCUUUCAUUGAUGAUAAAAUUGAAUUAAAUUUGAAAUUGAAAGUUAUUGAAGCAAUUUGCCGACCAAUACGAUGGAACGUGUGAAGAGUUGACGAAAUGUCUGAACGAAGCAACACUCAAAAGUUGGAAUAAAGUCAGGAAACUGCUUGCAUGUUAAAACAUAGAACAUCUGAGUUUACAGUGCAAGAAAUUUCAGGUUUGUGGCACGAUAAAGGCUGUAGAUGGUGGGAAUUUGCAUUAUAAAUCAAAAUUGUGCGUCAAGUACUUGUUGUCUGUAGACCACAAAAUAAUAGUUCUAUUGGUAUAUCUUAAAAUUGAUUUCUUCUUUGAUAUUAUUAAAAGUCAAUACAAAAAAGAUGUAAAGGAA
rnacentral:lncRNA from 1 species